rnacentral:rRNA from 1 species
UGAGGUAAUGGCUCACCAAGGCGACGACGGGUAGCCGGCCUGAGAGGGCGACCGGCCACACUGGGACUGAGACACGGCCCAGACUCCUACGGGAGGCAGCAGUGGGGAAUAUUGCACAAUGGGCGAAAGCCUGAUGCAGCGACGCCGCGUGAGGGAUGACGGCCUUCGGGUUGUAAACCUCUUUCAGCAGGGAAGAAGCGAAAGUGACGGUACCUGCAGAAGAAGCGCCGGCUAACUACGUGCCAGCAGCCGCGGUAAUACGUAGGGCGCAAGCGUUGUCCGGAAUUAUUGGGCGUAAAGAGCUCGUAGGCGGCUUGUCACGUCGGGUGUGAAAGCCCGGGGCUUAACCCCGGGUCUGCAUUCGAUACGGGCUAGCUAGAGUGUGGUAGGGGAGAUCGGAAUUCCUGGUGUAGCGGUGAAAUGCGCAGAUAUCAGGAGGAACACCGGUGGCGAAGGCGGAUCUCUGGGCCAUUACUGACGCUGAGGAGCGAAAGCGUG